AGAAUCAACGCUGGCGGCGUGCCUAACACAUGCAAGUCGCACGAGAAAGGGGAUUCGUCCCUGAGUAAAGUGGCGCACGGGUGAGUAACACGUGAAUUAUCUACCUCCGAGUGGGGAAUAACUGAGAGAAAUCUUAGCUAAUACCGCAUAACACUUACGAGUCAAAGCAGCAAUGCGCUUGGAGAGGAGUUCGCGGCCGAUUAGUUAGUUGGCGGGGUAAUGGCCCACCAAGACGAUGAUCGGUA
rnacentral:rRNA from 1 species